rnacentral:lncRNA from 1 species
AGGAGUCAAGCGGCCGCCCAUCGCCUACUACAACGCAGCCACAGGUGGAGUUGUUGUCACCCCUCCAAAGUCCCUCUUCACCAGCUUCAGCAAGUCCCUCGACAAGGUCAUGCAGGUGCGGACCCCCCUCUGCUCCCUGUCAUCAUGUGUCACCGUCAUUCGUGCUUUGCCACCGCCUUCAGUGGACCCGGAAAUAAAUCAAUAGUGUAUAAUCUCGUGACAGUGUAGCUCGUGGAUGUAACAAUCUGGAUAGAGGGGCUCAUGGAUGUGACAAUCUGCACUUUGCUAGCAAGGGGUGUCCAGUCUGUCUGUUCUAAGGGGUGAGCAAGAUGCUGGGAGAAGGCAUGGCAUGCUCAGGGAUGACCUGACCGAGAGCAGCCUCUGCAGGUUGAUUCAUUAGUAAAGUAUAGGGAUUCUAUUACAGAUGAGUCCUGGACACUGUAGCGUGCUGGCAUGCCAAUACCAGGGAGAUGAUGACCAAGAAAAUGGGUGCUUGCUCAUGAGAUGGGCAUAUGGGCAGCGCACAGAUUACUGUCAGAGGAGCCUUAACUCUGAUCACCCUGUCUUUUGCUGCGCGCAGGGGUCGUCGGGAAACCCCUUCUUCGACUGCGUGACCAUGAACUCGGGGCUGCCCCCCUUCAAGAGCUUCGUGCAGGCGAAUGGAAACAACGCUCAGACACUGGCCAACCACUUUGUCUCAUACCUCAAGGGGGAUCUGAGCACUCAGGACGGCGGCCUGGCCGACAAAAUCACAUUCGAAAACCCGUUCGACCCCGACUCGAAGCCCAUCAACCUUAAGUUCAACGCCGAGCGGCCCUACUUCAACCUCCCCCAGG